rnacentral:tRNA from 1 species
GCCUCCGUGGCGCAAUCGGUUAGCGCGUUCGGGUGUUAACCGAAAGAUUGGAGGUUCGAUUCCUCCCGGUGGCG